GACGAACGCUGGCGGCGUGCCUAACACAUGCAAGUCGAGCGAGAAAGUGGGAGCAAUCCCAUGAGUACAGCGGCGACCGGGUGAGUAACACGUGGGCAACCUGCCCUCAGCUUCGGGAUAACACUUGGAAACAGGUGCUAAUACCGGAUAACAACUUGUCAUCGCAUGGUGGUGGGUUCAAAGUUUUUCGGCUGAGGAUGGGCCCGCGGCCUAUCAGCUUGUUGGGGGGUAAUGGCCUACCAAGGCGACGACGGGUAGCCGGCCUGAGAGGGCGACCGGCCACACUGGGACUGAGACACGGCCCAGACUCCUACGGGAGGCAGCAGUGGGGAAUAUUGCGCAAUGGACGAAAGUCUGACGCAGCAACGCCGCGUGAGGGAUGACGGCCUCGGUGUAAC
rnacentral:rRNA from 1 species